rnacentral:rRNA from 1 species
CACGGGGGGAGCAAGCGUUGUUCGGAAUCACUGGGCGUAAAGGGCGUGUAGGCGGUCAGGUAAGUGGGAUGUGAAAUGCCCCGGCUCACCCGGGGACCGGCAUCCCAUACUGCUUGGCUUGAGUACGGGAGAGGAUGUGGGAAUUCCUGGUGUAGCGGUGAAAUGCGUAGAUAUCGUCAAGAACACCGAUAGUGUAGACAGCUUACUAGCUUAACUGACGCUGAGGCACGAAAGUGUGGGGAUCAAACAGG